rnacentral:rRNA from 1 species
UACAGAGGUCUCAAGCGUUGUUCGGAUUCAUUGGGCGUAAAGGGUGUGUAGGUGGCGCCGUAAGUCGGGUGUGAAAUUUCGGAGCUUAACUCCGAAACUGCAUUCGAUACUGCGGUGCUUGAGGACUGGAGAGGAGACUGGAAUUUACGGUGUAGCGGUGAAAUGCGUAGAUAUCGUAAGGAGGACCAGUGGCGAAGGCGGGUCUCUGGACAGUUCCUGACGCUGAGGCACGAAGGUCAGGGGAGCAAACGGG